rnacentral:lncRNA from 1 species
CCUAACGAUAUCCAUAAAUUAAGCACUUCAGCUUGGGCUACCAAAGCGAAAUAUAAUGCAUUUAUGAGUACCUUUCACCAGAGCACCCAGUAAUGAAGUUUCCAAUUCAUGGUUUGUGAUAUAAACGAUGUGAAAUGAUUGUUAUUCCCUUUCUUCACCAUGCCUUCAUUCUGGUUAAAGUUGUCAAUAGCGCUGCAAUCAAUUAUUUCUAUUGCAACGAUCGAACAGACCCCACAGCAUAUCUCAUUCGAACCCAACAUUAACUGGGACCCUCAAUGGAUUAGUUUAAAUGCGCUGAAGUUGUAUCGCUCAGACGAAACAAAGCCUGCGAAACUAAUGGGAAUGGUUCACCUAAGACGACCCUUAGACCGAAGCGUGUUCUACGAUUCUAAAAUCCAUUAAAAGUUUAACAAUAAAAGUUUUCCCUCUUACAAAAGUUACAUGGGUGUGUGCAGUUUAAAUGAUGCGAAAGAACCGUUCACUGUUCAUUUUCAGAACAAAACGGAUAAAUGCCCAUUUCCAGAGGGAAAUUAUAAUGUAACCAUGUGACAUUUAAACAAAAUGGUUUCUCCUUUCCGGAUGAUUAUUGGAUUAAAAUGAAGCUAAUCGAUCCCGAGUCCGUUCAACCUAUUUGCAGUUUAAGGUUGAAGAUCCUUGUUCCAGGAGAGCGGGAGGUGCCUCCGCCAUAUGUUGACAAUGAGAAACAUCUGCGACGAGAUGAUCUAACUCCAUUUCAUAGUAGACAAUAAAUGAUUUAACAAGAAAGCAAAAAUAGAUAAUGUUUAUGUUGUCAUACGAUAGCUACCUCUUUCAAACAAAACAUCAAACUACAACAUCAAUCUUUGCGUAUACCAUUUGAAAUGUUCAUAUUUAGUUCGAGGAUUUCAUUCGUUGGUGAUUUUUACAAUAUGUUAAUUCUUUCCAAAUGUUAUUUAUCGGUUUUACCCUCUUAUGGUGCUGAUCUUACCUGCACUUUCAAUGGUUAUACACAAGAAUGAUGACAUAUGAUUGUAUUUAUUUAACACUCAAUCCUACCUUAAUGUAUCAUCGGGCGAUCUCAUCAAUUGCUAGAUUGUUAGCCACUGUGAGAGAAACGUUUUAAGGUUAAUUUGACAUGCAAAAUUAUACAAUAUAUAAAAGAAAACCUAUGGUGUUGGUUUUACUCCGCUUUCCCCUGUGACUCAAGCAGACAACCGCAUUGUCUAAUGUGAGCACAGGAAGAGAUUGCAUGCCGAACAAGUGUAGAGCCCGGGACAAUAAGGUAACAAGUCCCCCGAAAAAAAGAGGUUAAUUUCCGUUUCAACGUGCCUAUAUUGGGUAAAACUUUUGCCACUCGCUGUUGCACCCCAUUUCGGUUGCUGCCGCCAAUAAAUAUUCUUUUCUUCUGGGCCGGGGCAAAUUUUCCGUUCGCCGCAAACGUUGGUUUCGAACUAAUUUAAUUAGCUGUUUCCUGAGUUUUUUUUCGUGCAGAGAGGAAGUUGAAUUUAUAUUUUCAAACGAAAUGUAUUAUUAAGCCGUGGAUAUGUGAACUUUAUGACAGUUCGAUUUAGUGGCUGCGGCAAUUUCGUGUGUCAUCGCUGUUGAGAUAAUUGGGAUAAUUCGUUUUGCCGGGUGAGGGUUCUAGUUUACGACUAGAGUAACGGAAAUUCCUCCAAAUAUGCGAUUCUCCUCUAAUAGUUGGGUAUUUAAGACGUACGAACCUUUGGGCACCACAAGUGGUAACAUUUUCUCGUCGAAUUUGAAAUUAUUUAUGGUGAUAUCAUCCCUGGGAAAUGGACAUGUACCUUUCUCGGGGAAGUUCGAUACAUUUCUCAAAAGAGGAAUGAAACUGUCUUCAGAAUCAAAAAAGUGGCAGAGUGGUUGUUCGUUUCUAGCAAUAUACUGGUUGUAGCCAAUUCCGGCGGCGUUUUUCUUCGAAACUUCCAUCAGAAUUCGUGCUUCAUUGCCCAUUGAUUUACGGAUGCUUAAUGUACCAGAUAUUGUGAAAUUGUUACGACCAACACGAGUUAUGCGAAGUGUACCAAAAUCUACCCUUUCCGGAUCUGUUCGUGAAUCUGGAAACAUGGACUCGAUAACGACAUCGUAGUUCUCCGACUACCAUUCUUCCAUGCGCUUGUGUUGAAAGUUUGAGAAAUUGGAGAAUGCAGCGAAGCGCGAUCAGAGGGAGGAAUACAAACAACAGUGUCGUCGCUCGGCGGCCAGUGAAAAAAGCUGAAUGUUCGAAAGGUUGUUGCCUGUAUUUUUUACCGCUGGUGCCAACUGUUAGCAUUUAAGAACGAAAUAAACAGUCUUUGCCCUAUUGAAGUUCAAAUAGAUAUAGCCGUUAUUUGAGCGGGAAAAAUUG